GCCAAAACGAUUUACACAUUAUUCCGAGUAAAUAAAUAAAUAAUAAGUAAAACAUCCGUCUUGAUUAAAUUAGCUACGCGAGCACGUUCAAAUAACAUAUAAUUUGUCAUCGAAGUGUAACGUAUUCAUAAAAGAUGUAUUUGUUUUGGUUACUGCGGUAGUUCGACAUUUCGGCGGCCGUUAGUUCUGGAAAAUUGUACCCAUAUUCUGUGGGUAUACAUUUAUCUCAAUCGUCAUUGCAUUGCUUGCAAUUUCUGGGUUGAGUCUACUUGACGAAGAAAAAUUAGUGCAACUCCAAUCAUAAAUGAUAGUUCAUCAACCGAAUUUUCCCGGAGGCGAUAAGCGUAUUGUCAAGAUAUUCAUGAUGACUUAUAAGUCCGUGUCGAUGAUUGUUGCGUAACGACCACAACAUUGUUAUCGCGCUCACCGCCACCGCCAACCGACUCGCCGCAUCCAUUCGCAUGCGUCGCUCUCAGUGUUACGACAACGUUGCUCUGCACAGUUAACCGCGUAACUGCAGCCGUCUAGGUGCUCGAACGUCGUUCCGUCUCGCCGCCACUGUUUCCUCAAAUUCCAAUUCAGAUACUUAAUUCCUGUACGGAGACAUUUCAACGUUACCGAUCAUCUCAUUCCAAUAUGUGAGUACCGAGUGUUGUAUAAAAUUACUUAAUUUCGUCACGGUUAAAGUCCGAGAU